GCCCUGAGUUUUCUAAAAGUGAGUCUGAAAUUCUCUGUUGUACUCUCUACUACAAAAAGGUUAUAGGCGUGAUAUUCUUUGCCGUGUCCUAGAACCCUCAAAACAAACAUUUUAGGGGACAGGAUUGCCUUUUCAGGCAGAACCUCUGUUGAGGGAAAAUGGCAGUUAGGUUUGUUCCCAUUUCCUUCUAAAGAGAACCAACAACAUUGUCAUCUAUUUGAAUGAUGUUAAACAGUUUACAAAGAAUUUUUACGUAUAUUCUCUCUCCACGGCCCCUCUGAAUCUCUGAGCGGGUGGCAGGGUAGCUGCCAUCAGUCCUGCUUCACAUAUACGACUCAUCUUAAGCCAGUGACUUAAUCAGCUGUGUCCCCCCAUCUAAGAACCAAGGUCUCCUGGUAGCUAACCGUUCCCUUGCCUCAAUUCUGUGUUAUUGGAGACUUGCCUCAGGCCACACAGGCCAGAAGACUUCUCAAGUCUUGGAAGGAAGCCCCCAACUCAUAGCUCAGCACACAUCUUCUCAAAACAUAAUAAAAGAGGAACUGAAUAGAAUGGAAAUUUCAGUGAAGAAGACCUAAGUUUGAAUCUCACACCUGCUGUUCCUGGCUGUAUGACUGGGAUGGGAAGAUGCAUGGAGCAGAUCUGAAUCUACUGACAGCCUGAAGAAGAGCAGCAGCCAUCCCACUGCACCAAC
ensembl:lncRNA novel transcript